AAAAUCCAUUUAAUCCUUGAUAGACUUCUAGACACUUGAGUAACCUAUUUAUUCCCUCAGGUGGAGUGAAUGUCUAUAUUAUGCUGAACUUCCAGAACCAGCUAGAGAUACAAGCGACAGAGUCCUUCCUUCUGGUGAAGUGGACAGAUGAGCAGGCAGGCGACCUCUAUGGAGAGACAGACGCAGCUGAGAGAAUUCAGGCCCUUUUGUCUUAUUUUCCUACAUUGUCAAGGAUCCACAUUACAAGGUUGAAGAGAAGCGGUGAUGGCAGAAAAAUCCCUCAUCAAGCAUGUGCGUGUCUCAGCUUGGAGUUCAGAAGAGCAAAAAGCAGAAAUUUCCCCUGGCUGUGGGGCUGAAACAGGAAACCACCCAGAAACCCUCAGCAGAGGAGGCCGGGAGUCCCCAGUUCCCUGGGACGGAGUGGACAUUUCACAGGAAACACUUCUGGGUGCAGCCCGAGUCUGUUCCCAUCCCUCUGUGUUGGAAUAAAGGCUCCAUGAGCUCAUGCGUUGUCUGUUUCGCUGGUGAAUGAAUCACAAGCACCUGUGCCCGGCGCAGAUCUGGCCCCUGCAGAGUUCAGUUGAAUGAGUGAAUAAAUCCAGCUGCAGCCUUCUAGAGCUGAUGGGGGGCAGCCGGAUAGGGCGGCCCUGACUGCCUCUCUGCGUGGCAUUUGUGUCUCCAAAUCACCAUGGUGCCCUGCACUCUGGAUGACCUGUAAGACCCCCUCCUCCCCAGCCCCAAACUCCUGUGGAUACAGAAUUGCUUCAAGGCAGUGGGCAGGUAGAGUGCCCAUCACCUGGGUUGCUCUGGUGUGAAUGUCUCUGCCCUCUUCCAGGACGGCAAGGUGUUGUCGCAGAGAUCUGCAGGGUCCUAGCGGGCAUCUGAGCUGCCUGGAUUAGGGAUCCCUUUCCUCAGAGCAUGGUCCGAGCUGGAAGCAUGAGUCCCAGUUAGUAGAAGCAGAGGGCUGGGAGCAUCCGCACCAGAGCCUCCAUCCUGAGCUCACAGUGGGUGGAGAAAGUCGCCUCCUAACGGGGCCUCCCAUAGGCUGA